rnacentral:rRNA from 1 species
GCUAGCUUGACUGCGAGAGUGACGGCUCGAGCAGGUGCGAAAGCAGGUCUUAGUGAUCCGGUGGUUCUGAAUGGAAGGGCCAUCGCUCAACGGAUAAAAGGUACUCCGGGGAUAACAGGCUGAUACCGCCCAAGAGUUCAUAUCGACGGCGGUGUUUGGCACCUCGAUGUCGGCUCAUCACAUCCUGGGGCUGAAGUAGGUCCCAAGGGUAUGGCUGUUCGCCAUUUAAAGUGGUACGCGAGCUGGGUUUAGAACGUCGUGAGACAGUUCGGUCCCUAUCUGCCGUGGGCGCUGGAGAAUUGAGGGGGGCUGCUCCUAGUACGAGAGGACCGGAGUGGACGCAUCACUGGUGUUCGGGUUGUCAUGCCAAUGGCAUUGCCCGGUAGCUAAAUGCGGAAGAGAUAAGUGCUGAAAGCAUCUAAGCACGAAACUUGCCCCG